rnacentral:piRNA from 1 species
UUCAAACCGUCUCUUCACAGGAAGUUCCUC